UUGUUGUUGUUGGUUGUUGUUGUUGUUUUUUAACAGUGUAAAAGCCUUUAUUUAAAGCUCUGUGGUUCUGAUUUUCAGCACUGUCAAGCACCCUGCUCUCUGAUUUCUUUUAACUGGAGAUGUAGGUGUUCAGCAUUUCUGGCAGCCAGGGCCCCUCUACUAAUGCCUGCAGAGAGUAGCUGGAGAAAGUGUGAGAAACAUUAUUGUAAUGAGGGGCUAAUUCUGCCUCUCCUUCCUGCCUCUCAGUGCAGAUGAAAGAGUGCCUGGGAAUCAUGUUAUGUGCAUGGAGAAAGGGAAUUCUGAUUUACUGGCUCUGGCUCCCCAAGGGCAGGGAUGCUCUCCUAGCACAACUCACAGUAAGUCACAUCUGCAUUUCCAGUAUAAGGCCCAUUUUUAAGGACUCCUAGUUCAGCUAUAAAAAUUCACUUAGCAUGCAUGAAUAGAAAACAAAUUGACAAGAUAGACCAUAACUGCUCUGAAAGGGCCAUUAGUUCCUGUUGUAUGAAAAAUCCACGUUCUAAAAAAGCAAGUAUUGUUCACAUUUGCACAACAGGCUGUAACUGUUCCUUCUAAGUCAUUAUAGCCUGUACGGAAAUAAUCAUUCUCACAAUCACUAUUGAUACCACAGGCACAGAAACAGCAGGAAGCAGAUGCCUGUGCUUGAUAUUAAUCCAGAGCCUUCCAGUCCCUCUGAGCAGGUUCUGAUCAGUGUAAACUCUAGAUGUACAACAAUAUAACUGAGAAGGGCGAGACCACAGAAUAAAGAUCUGGUCUGAUGACUGAGAGUUUGGUGCAAGGUUUCUGGUGUCCUCAGAUGAAUCUCAGCAGUGCAGUGGCUGUGAGAGGGUACCAAUAAAUGGUCUGUUGACAAACACCAUUCAUCCCCUGUGCUCACUGCUGGUGGGGAAGGUAGGGGAAACACAUCUGUAUCUGGUGUUUUGGUCUUUAAUGAAGGAAAAGUCCAGGGCAAAUAGGAAUGUACUUAAUUUUUAAAUUGUGAUUUUAAGAGGUACUAGGUCAUGGCAUUUUCUAAAAUUGUUUCUUUUAGUUGGUGAUUAAUCCCUCACCUGAUACCAAACUGGUUUUUUUUUUUCCCACUUUUUUCUUUUCCAGGUUUUCAUGUGUUGCAGGUUUUCUUUAGACAAACAGCAGUGAGGAACUGACUUUGAUAUGUGUCUCCUCCUCCUGAGAUCACUAGCAUUUGAGAUUUCCAUAUUAUAUUUGGAAUGAAUGGAAGAGAGAGAGUGUAAAAUCAAAGACUGGCACUAGAGUCCUGAAGAGUUGUGAUAUGCCUUAGGGGUGUGUCCAUGGAAACCCUGGGCCUGAGCCUUCUUGUCCUGGUUUUACAAAUAAGGAAAUUUCCAGGGUUUUCAGUGGAGUGAUCCCCAUGUUAGCCAGAAGGAUGUGAAUGAUUUUCUCCACUCCCACAUGUGUGUAUGGACAUAUCAACCUACCCAUUUUUACUCUCUUACAAAAGUUUGCAUGGAUCCAUGACUAGGUGUAUUGAGGGCAACUUCAGAUGAAUUUCUAACAGUUCACUUUCCUGUGGGAAUGCAGGUCAGAGGUCCUGUAGGAUACCCGUGGCUGAAUCUUCCUGAGAUCAUCCUGUGUCAUGGGAAGAGGUUGAGCUGAAUGUUGGAGUAAAAGGGGCUGUGUUGGCAGAAAGUCAAACCAUCAAUUUUUUGGUAGGAUUUCAGGAGCAAGUGGCUGCCUCUUAGCUGGACCUCUCUUCCCUGUUGCUGGAAUUAACCACAACAGCAGCAAGGCAAGUGAGAAGGAUCCCCAGGGAGGCCAGCCCUGCCUCUGGACACCAGUGCACCUCCAUGGGAGGGUGCAGGUAGGGGACUGCCUGCCAGGUUGCAAAGGUGGGACGCCUCUCCCUGGGCUGCCUUUUCAGCUCCCACCAGUGGAUCCUAGUGACGUGGGCCACUGGAAAGCUGCCACUGUGGACGGUCUCCCAUGGAGGAGUUGUCCUGCUGGAUCUUGACAGUGAUUCUUUUACUCUGUUAGCCUUGCUGGUAGCAGCAUCUUCAAAGCAUUGCCUGAGUAGGUACUCCUGAGGAAAACUUCCCUCACUCAAAAAAAAAAAAAUUAUUAAAAUGCUGAAGUUCAAGGGAUUGAAUUUCUCGCAAAGCUCUUAAAAUUAGUAUCUACCACUAAACUCUUGGAUCUUUUAACAUACAGCAUCCAAUCUUUGUCCCAUUAGGUCUUGUGAUAAAGAGUUCUCCAAAGGAAUUCUAUGCAUUUCUUGUUCAAAGUCUCCUGUGAGAAAAAUUAGGUUUUUGGACUCCCAGUCACCCUGAUAAUGAUGGCAGCUGUCCCCUGCAUCUCCAGCUCCCCUCACAGACUUCAGCACUGCACACCGGCUGCCCUGCUGCUGAGAUGGCGAUGACGGAAAGAAGUAAAAUGAAAUAAAUUUAUAAAAAGAGAAAGGUAUCUUCCCAGGCAUCUAAAUGCUUCCAGAGAUUUGUGGUUUGAACACCUAAGUCCCCCUAAAACCAUUAAGAGCCAGGCAUCAACUCCUAUAUAUUCCUUCCAAAUUCCAGCCAAAAUUGUUGUCCCACUUGGAGCAUGAAGUUCUCAUGUAAGAGAUUAUAAACUGGAUUUCUGCUCUGCUUUAGCAGGCAGCUUUGCACCAGGGGAAGGAAAAAAAUACCAACCCAUGGUGUUGACUGUAUAAACAUCUUGUUCAAAGAGUAACAUUUUCCUGAUUAAUAGCAUUUCAGUAUUAAAAACAAUCAGUCUAGAA